AUACCUGGUUUGGCUUCAUUAGGACAGUGUCAGCUUCCCUCUGCAUCUAUUACUGACAUUCCCAGGACCCACUCUCCUGCCGUCUGCCUCUCUUCUCCCAGGAAAAGAUCUUAAGAGGCUGUGAUGGCUGCUUUAUUGGCGGCUUAGGCUAUUUGAUGUUGCUGAUGAUGGAGCUGGAGGCUGGGCUGGACGAUGGCCCGAGGACAGCGACCACCCCCUUGGGGAGGAUCUGACACACUGCAGCCGGCGGCAGGGACAGGGAAAGAAGCAAGGCACUCAUCAGUACAAAAACAAGAUAGAGAAAUAAAAGAGCAGAGUCAAGAUUCAACAGCUCCACCCAGUUCCCCAAAGACCAGCCCCUUCACCACUGCACCACACAGCCAUCCCCAGCAAGUGGCAAUUAACUGGGAUGUUUG